rnacentral:rRNA from 1 species
AGAGUUUGAUCAUGGCUCAGAUUGAACGCUGGCGGCAGGCCUAACACAUGCAAGUCGAACGGUAACAGAAAGCAGCUUGCUGCUUUGCUGACGAGUGGCGGACGGGUGAGUAAUGUCUGGGAAACUGCCUGAUGGAGGGGGAUAACUACUGGAAACGGUAGCUAAUACCGCAUAACGUCGCAAGACCAAAGAGGGGGACCUUCGGGCCUCUUGCCAUCGGAUGUGCCCAGAUGGGAUUAGCUAGUAGGUGGGGUAAAGGCUCACCUAGGCGACGAUCCCUAGCUGGUCUGAGAGGAUGACCAGCCACACUGGAACUGAGACACGGUCCAGACUCCUACGGGAGGCAGCAGUGGGGAAUAUUGCACAAUGGGCGCAAGCCUGAUGCAGCCAUGCCGCGUGUAUGAAGAAGGCCUUCGGGUUGUAAAGUACUUUCAGCGGGGAGGAAGGGAGUAAAGUUAAUACCUUUGCUCAUUGACGUUACCCGCAGAAGAAGCACCGGCUAACUCCGUGCCAGCAGCCGCGGUAAUACGGAGGGUGCAAGCGUUAAUCGGAAUUACUGGGCGUAAAGCGCACGCAGGCGGUUUGUUAAGUCAGAUGUGAAAUCCCCGGGCUCAACCUGGGAACUGCAUCUGAUACUGGCAAGCUUGAGUCUCGUAGAGGGGGGUAGAAUUCCAGGUGUAGCGGUGAAAUGCGUAGAGAUCUGGAGGAAUACCGGUGGCGAAGGCGGCCCCCUGGACGAAGACUGACGCUCAGGUGCGAAAGCGUGGGGGAGCAAACAGGAUUAGAUACCCUGGUAGUCC